CCUACGGGGGGCUGCAGUGGGGAGUAUUGGACAAUGGGGGAAACCCUGAUCCAGCCAUGCCGCGUGAGUGAUGAAGGCCUUCGGGUUGUAAAGCUCUUUUAGCGGGGAAGAUAAUGACGGUACCCGCAGAAUAAGCCCCGGCUAACUUCGUGCCAGCAGCCGCGGUAAGACGAAGGGGGCUAGCGUUGUUCGGAAUUACUGGGCGUAAAGGGCGCGCAGGCGGCUUUGCAAGUCAGGCGUUAAAGACCCAGGCUCAACCUGGGGAAUGCGCUUGA
rnacentral:rRNA from 1 species